rnacentral:rRNA from 1 species
AUGCUUGAAAGAAUUAAACAACAAUUGAUGCAGAGGCACUACAACAAGCAGAUAGAAGGAGAUAAGAUGAAAGGAGACAUAUGCCCUAAGAUCAAGAAAAAGGUUGAUAAGCUAACUGAAUGGGCAAACACCUGCUAUGUUGAUGGGGCUGGUGAUGGAGUCUUUCAGGUUGGUGAUAGAGGGACUGACUACAUUGUUGACUGGCACAGUAGUGAGUGUAGCUGCAAGAGGUGGCAGAAGGGUGGCACACCAUGUGUACAUGCUAUAGCAUGUGCUAGACAUGAGAGAGUUGAUCCCCUCCUACUGGUGAACCAAUGCUAUUCUGUUGGGAUGUUCAAGAAAGCAUACAAGAACAUCAUCUAUCCCAGCAGAGAUAAGACAGAAUGGGAGAGGAUGAAUGGACCCCCAAUCAAGCCACCAUUGUACACCAAGCAGGUAGGCAGGCCAUGCAAGAGCAGAAGAAAGGCCCCACAUGAAGUUUCUUGCAGCAAUGGUGGCAAAAAAAAGUCAAGGCAUGGUGUGAUCAUGCAUUGCAACUAUUGUGGAGAGCCAGACCACAACAUCAAAGGCUGUAAGUACCUCAAGGAUGGUCUGCCCCCUCCAAAUGUGCAAGCUCCACCACAACCACAUGCAGAAGGUGCUCCAAAUGUGGAAGUUGAUCCAAAUGUGGAAGCUAGUAAUGUGGAAGGUGCUCCAAAUGUGGAAGUUGAUCCAAAUGUGGAAGCUAGUAAUGCAGAAGGUGCUCCAAAUGUAGGAGAUGAUGAGCAAGUCAUUACUCAGGAGCACAACUGUCCAGAAAAUCAUAUCACAGAAGAUCUUAUGAUUGAUCAUAUGGUUCAAAAUAGGCCUCUGCCAAGAGUGGUUGCAUCAGGGCCUAUACCAGAAUCAACUUUCAUAUGUGCUGCAAGGGCCAUGCUCAAUCAAACCAUGGGAGCUACAACACAAUCCAGCAACAAUGGGAGCUCAAGCACAAUCCAGCAAGGUGACUUGGCCAAAAAAUUGCUUCUCCUCAAGAGGCAGAGAGACAAAGAACUGGAAGAUAAGAAGGAAGCACUUCUUGCAGCAAGAAGGGAGGAACAACAAAAGAAAGCAGAGGAAGCUGCCAGGAAGAGACAUCAGCAAGAGGAGAAGAAAGCAUUGGAAGCAGAGAGGAAGAGGAAGUCACAAGCUGAGAAGAGAGAGAAGAGAAAAGAAGAAGCUGCAAUAGCAAAGAAGGCUAAGGAAGAAACAAGGCAGAUCAUUAUGGAGACCAAGAAAGCUGUGGCUGCUGAGAAUAAAGCAAGGCAGCAAGCUCAGAAGAAGGCUGAAAAGGAGGAAGCUGCAGCCAAGAAGAGAGCAGAGAAAGAAGCUGCAACAGCAAGAAAAAGAGCAGACAGGGUAGCUGCUGCUGAGGCUAGGAAGGAGGAAAUGAGGCUAAUAGGUAUUGCUCUUGGCAAGAGGCCUGCAGGUCCAGAGCCUGAUUCAGAUGAUGAUCUUGUGCUUCCGAGUAAUACCAGAGGCACUUCAAUGUUUGACAUCUUCAGAUGA